rnacentral:lncRNA from 1 species
AAAAAGUGAUAAUGCUUGGAGAGAAAUACUGCAUUUUCUUGAAGGAGUAAUGAGAGGUAGAGAAAUAUGUGUAUUUUCCUGCAUCCUUGCCCUCUAGUCCAGCAACUGCAAACGUUUAAGAAACUCCACACACUUUCCCUGAGGUGCCCAGGAAACUCCCUUUCUUCAGCAUGUGAGAAAGUUCUGCUUUAACUUCUAAACACAUUAGAGAGCUGUACAGUCACCAACUUCAUGAAGUUUAACAAGAGCAAGUAUCAGAUUCUGCACCUGGCAUGGGGCAGCUCAGGCUACCUGUACAGAAUGGGGGAUGAGAGGCCAGAGAGCAGCCCUGCUUUCAGCAGAGAUCUGGGGGUUCUGGUCAACAGCACAUUGAAUAUGAGGCAGCAGUGUGCUCAGGCAGCCCAGAGGGCCAACUGCACUUUGGGGUGCACCAGGCCCAGCACUGCCAGCAGGCAGGGGACGGGUUGUGCCACUCUGCGCUGUGCGGCCUCACCUCCAGCGCUGGGUGCAGGUGUGGGUGCCACUACGUAAGAUGCUAUUAGAGAGUGCCCAAAGGAGGGCUGCAGAGAUGGGGAAGGAUCUGGGGGUGCAGUGUUUGAGGAGCGGCUGAGGCCCCUCGGUGUGCUCAGCCCGGAGCAGAGCAGCUUGAGGGCGGCACUCCUGGCGGCUGCAGCUCCUCACAGGGAGCGGAGGGCAGCGCUGAGCUGUGCUGCCUGGGGACAGCGACAGGGCCCGAGGGAACGGCAUGGAGCUGUGCCAGGGGAGGGGCAGCUGGGGCUUAGGGAAAGGGUCUGCGCCAGAGGGCAGUAGGCAUGGCCCUGAGCUUCUGGAGUUCAGGAAGUGCCUGGACAACACUCUCAAGCAUGGUCUGAUUUGCAGUGGUCCUGUGUGAAUCCAGGGGUUAGAACUGAUGACCCUAGUAGGUCUCUUCCAACUGCUCCAUGAAUGCCUCCAUCUGCACACCCCACGCUUCUCACCUAUAGCAUCACAAUUGGGCAGCAGCUCUCCCAGCUGCCUCUCUCCCUCCCAGCUUCCAGCAGUGCCCUCAGCUGCUGCGCAGCAGCCAGGGCAGGGUGUGGUGAUCUGUCACACCCUGGGAAAAGUCCCUUGUUUGUACAACAAACUGAGCAGGCAAGGGGAUACACAAAGAGAACUUACAGGUACACAUCAGGGCCAAGUUGCACAGGCUGGUGGUGGCACCAGGAGCAUCAAGCUCAUCCCUGAUCUGUGCUACAGCCUGUGA